UCUCAGACGUUAAGAGGACAGUGUGGAUCAGGUUUCCAGGCCUUUCAGAGACACCGACACAGCCGCAGCAACAAUGAUGAUGAUGUCACUGAUCCUGCUUCUGCUCACCCCGGGGCUCCUUGUUCAGGGUUCAUCAGGAGACACCCUCCUGACUCAGACUCCUGGAUCUCAGUCUGUGGUUCCAGGACAGACCGUCUCCCUCAGAUGCCAAACCAGUUCAAGUGUUUAUAACAGCCUCCACUGGUACCUUCAGAAACCUGGAGAAGCUCCUGAACUCCUGAUUUAUUCUGCUACAAACCGUCAGUCUGGAGUUUCAGAUCGUUUCAGUGGAAGUGGAUCUGGAUCUGACUACACCCUGACUAUCAGAGGAGUCCAGGCUGAAGAUUCAGGAGUUUAUUUCUGUCAGCACAGUGCCAGCUUCCCGUUCACGUUCGGUGGAGGAACCAGACUGGAUGUUGGAAGUGAUACGCGUCCCACCCUGACGGUGCUGCCCCCCUCCGAUAAGGAGCUGCAGCAGGAGAGGGCCACGCUCAUGUGCCUGGCCAACAAGGGCUUCCCCUCAGGCUGGAGUCUGGCCUGGAAGGUGGGCGGCGGCGGCAGCAUCAGCAGCAUCAGCGGGGAGGAGAGCAGGAGCCCCGGGGCGCUGCAGAAGGACGGCCUCUACAGCUGGAGCAGCACCCUGAGGCUCACUGCAGAGCAGUGGAGGAAGCUGGGCUCUGUGACCUGUGAGGCCACCCAGGGCUCCCAGACUCUGGUCUCACAGUCCUUGAGCAGAGACCAGUGUUCCCAGAACUGAUCUGACUCACUGGGACCCUGAUUGUGUUUGUUCUCUGUUCCUGCUCUCAGUCUAAACUCUCUGUCUCUGGUUCUCUCUUUCAAUCAUGACAUGUUUCAUGUUUCAACAUUUCACUGUUUCUACUCAUGCUGAUGGAUUCAAUGUUUGAACACAAUAAAGAUUUUAUUAUGUGUAUCAUCAAA